GGGCGCAUAGCUCAAUUGGCAGAGCAUCUCCCUCUUAAGGAGACGGUUGGAGGUUCGAUUCCUCCUGCGCUCA
rnacentral:tRNA from 1 species